UACAGAGGUCUCAAGCGUUUGUUCGGAUUCAUUGGGCGUAAAAGGGUGUGUAGGUGGCGCCGUAAGUCGGGUGUGAAAUUUCGGAGCUUAACUCCGAAACUGCAUUCGAUACUGCGGUGCUUGAGGACUGGAGAGGAGACUGGAAUUCAUGGUGUAGCAGUGAAAUGCGUAGAGAUCAUGAGGAAGACCAGUGGCGAAGGCGGGUCUCUGGACAGUUCCUGACACUGAGACACGAAGGCCAGGGGAGCAAACGGG
rnacentral:rRNA from 1 species